GCAAGGAGCAGAGACUUGGCUACACUGCAGUUCCUUCACUGCAGUUGAUGAGCACAGUUACAAGCUCUCAGGGCUUGAUUUGAUCCCCACUAGGAAGUGGAAGCAGCGACCUUCUUGGCCAGAGCUUGCAGAGCUGAUCUCUUCAGAGUUCUGGCUUAGAAGGAUUUUGGCAACAGCAUACUUUAAAAGCUAGCUGCUGAACGUCCUGAGGCUAAGCAUGUUGAAAGGCAAAGACAGGCUCUUCCUUAUUUGCUCUACAUUAAGGAAAGCUGGAUGGUAAUCUUUUUAUCCUCUGGCCCCACAUCCUGACCAGUUGAAAUGGAAGCUGUACAGGGGAGAGGAACUGGAUCAUAGAGGGGAGACACAUGUACCAGAUCAAGCUCAGGAUCCAGCCAGCCAGCAGGAGCUGGAGAAACAGUUUAUCCCCCAUUCAUAUGUGGAGUGGGGCUUUCCCCUCCCUUUUCUCUCCCAUUUAAUUGACAAUGCAGGCCGUGUUGCUGUCUGCCUUUUAUCUUCCUCUCAGUGGGAGCUGAGGCUUCUGGCUUUUUCAGGGCUGUAACAUGUCUGUGCAAGUAAUUGGUUGGGUGUUUUUGUUGUGUUUUUUUUUUUUCUGAGUUCAGUUUGAGUUAUAAAAGUGGGUGUGUGCAGGAACAUGUAAUUCAGGUCAUCCCUAAUUGACAACAUUUCAGGGUGCUUUGUUUUUAAACAAACGUAAAACAAAGCAGGUCAAAUAAAUCAAACAGGACAUUUCAGCAAAGGAUUUAGUUCUUAGCUCUUUUUAUCCCACUUUUUAAAUGCUGAAAAAGAAAAAUACCUUUUUUGCACAAGUCUAAAGAGUCCCUUUUAAAAAGGUUGAGCAAAAAAUACAUUUGGGAAGAUAAAAUUAUUUAUCAAAUGAAUUCUUAAUGUCCAAAUGAUGUGUCCCCCAUAAAAAUCUGCAUUAGUUGUUACUCUUUACACUUGUUUUAAUUUCUUUGGUCUCUGGUCCCAGCUAUUGUGAUAAUAGGCAGCUGUUGUAAUUGUUUAGUCUUUUGUUGAAGGCUGUCAAAACUACAAGCUUAAAAUUCAUUUAAAAUAAAUUAGUCACAUUUGGCAAAUA